GGGGUUGUAGCUUAGUGGUAGAGUGCUUGCCUAGCAUGUAUGAGGCACUGGUUCAAUUCUCAGCACUG
rnacentral:tRNA from 1 species